AAUUACUGGGCGUAAGCGCACGCAGGCGGUCGGAUAAGUUAGAUGUGAAAGCCCCGGGCUCAACCUGGGAAUUGCAUUUAAAACUGUCCAGCUAGAGUCUUGUAGAGGGGGGUAGAAUUCCAGGUGUAGCGGUGAAAUGCGUAGAGAUCUGGAGGAAUACCGGUGGCGAAGGCGGCCCCCUGGACAAAGACUGACGCUCAGGUGCGAAAGCGUGGGGAGCAAACAGGAUUAGAUACCCUGGUAGUCCACGCCGUAAACGAUGUCGAUUUGGAGGCUGUGUCCUUGAGACGUGGCUUCCGGAGCUAACGCGUUAAAUCGACCGCCUGGGGAGUACGGCCGCAAGGUUAAAACUCAAAUGAAUUGACGGGGGCCCGCACAAGCGG
rnacentral:rRNA from 1 species